rnacentral:rRNA from 1 species
AUUGAACGCUAGCGGGAUGCCUUACACAUGCAAGUCGAACGGCAGCGCGGACUUCGGUCUGGCGGCGAGUGGCGAACGGGUGAGUAAUGUAUCGGAACGUGCCCAGUAGCGGGGGAUAACUACUCGAAAGAGUAGCUAAUACCGCAUACGCCCUACGGGGGAAAGGGGGGGAUCGCAAGACCUCUCACUAUUGGAGCGGCCGAUAUCGGAUUAGCUAGUUGGUGAGGUAAAGGCUCACCAAGGCGACGAUCCGUAGCUGGUUUGAGAGGACGACCAGCCACACUGGAUUGAGACACGGCCCAGGCUCCUACGGGAGGCAGCAGUGGGGAAUUUUGGACAAUGGGGGCGACCCUGAUCCAGCAAUUACGCGUGUGCGAUGAAGGCCUUCGGGUUGUAAAGCACUUUUGGCAGGAAAGAAAUCGCACGGAUUAAUACUCUGUGUGGAUGACGGUACCUGCAGAAUAAGCACCGGCUAACUACGUGCCAGCCGCCGCAGUAA